rnacentral:rRNA from 1 species
UACAGAGGGUGCAAACGUUGUUCGGAAUUACUGGGCGUAAAGCGUGCGCAGGCGGUUAUGUAAGACAGUUGUGAAAUCCCCGGGCUCAACCUGGGAACUGCAUCUGUGACUGCAUAGCUAGAGUACGGUAGAGGGGGAUGGAAUUCCGCGUGUAGCAGUGAAUGCGUAGAUAUGCGGAGGAACACCGAUGGCGAAGGCAAUCCCCUGGACCUGUACUGACGCUCAUGCACGAAAGCGUGGGGAGCAAACAGG